UUCCCAGUUGAGAUCAAGAUGACACGAACCCAAAUACCGAGAUUUUUUGAGAAAAAUUCUGAAUCAAUAAUGACCAAAUUAUUCAAAGAAUCCAGAGAGAGUGAGGAAAGGAGCUAUGGGAUUAUUGUUAAUAGUUUCUAUGAACUUGAGCCAGAUUUUGCAGAUCAUUACAGGAAUGUUUUUGGGAGGAAGGCAUGGCAUAUAGGCCCAGUUUCACUAUGCAACAAGGCAGCAGAGGAUAAAACAGAGAUUAGGGGAAUGGAAGCCUCCCUUGAUGAACAUGAGUGCUUGAAUUGGCUAAACUCUAAGAAACCCAAUUCAAUUGUUUACAUAUGUUUUGGAAGCCAGACCAAUUUUGCUGAUGUUGAGCUGCUAGAAAUUGCAUUGGGGCUUGAGGCUUCUGGGCAGGAAUUCAUUUGGGUUGUGAAGAAAGAAAAGAAAGAAAAAGAUGAGUGGUUGCCUUAAGGGUUUGAAAGUAGAGUGGAAGGUAAGGGACUCAUUAUAAGAGGUUGGGCUCCACAAGUGCUGAUUCUUGAGCAUCAAGCAAUUGGAGCCUUGGUGACUCACUGUGGGUGGAACUCUAUCCGUGAAGAAGUGUCUUCUGGGGUGCCAAUGAUCACGUGGCCGGUGUCCGCCGAGCAGUUUUACAAUGAGAAGUUGGUGACUGAUAUACAUAGAACUGGGGUUGCUGUUGGUUCUAAACAGUGGGCUUCAUUUGUAGAUGUGAAGAAGGAAGCCAGUGUGAAGAGGGAAGCCAUAGAGAAGGCUGUGACUCUAGUCAUGGUGGGUGAUACAGCAGAGGAAAUGAGAGGCAGAGCCAGGACACUAGGAGAGAUGGCAAAGAGGGCUGUUGAAGAAGGUGGCUCAUCAUUCUCAGAUUUAACUGCUCUAAUUGAAGAGUUGAUCCCUUGGAGCUUAAAGCUUUAGCCAAAAUACCAGCAUUUGUUUAAGUAAGUAAGAAUUGUUUGUUCAAAGUUUAGAACAAGCCUAGAGCCUUAGAUUGUAGUUUCUUUCUGUGAGUAUCUUCAGCAUAUCUUAGACAAGUUGUUGAUCCUAUUUUCUUUUUGAUAAAAUAUUCUCAUAUG